GUGGUGGUGGUGUGUGUGUGUGUGUGUGUGUGUGUGUGUGUGUGUGUGUGUGUGCAGACCAGAGUUCAGUUGAGAAAUACCUUCUUUAAUAACUCUACACAUUACUGUUUAAGACAUGAUCUGAAGCUAAUUAAUGUAGGCAAACUGGAUGGCUAGCAAGUCUCGGGGUCUUCCUGUCUCCAUCUGUGCUAUACACCAACACUUUGAUUUUGUGGAUGCUGGGGUUCCAAAUUUGAUCUGUCAUGCUUGCACAAAAAACACUUUGGCCAAUGGCCCUAACCCUGAGUGUCUCAAUCCCCUAAAUCUCUUUUAGCUUAUAGAUGUUAAUUCUUUGGCUUUAGUUGUCCUCAUUGUUUUCCAGACUUCCUGGGUAAGAUGUUGCCGUCCUGAGGAAGAUGGCCAAAUUCAAAAUAAGCAGAUCCACCAGACUUACGGGGAAUACAGGUGAGAGUACAGGAGUGGAGAUGACUCAAGGACAUUUACAUCACCAAAGGCCACUUCAUGAAUGACAGCUCAUGAAAGCUGGAACACAAUUCACAACUUGAAGGCAGCUCAACAGGGCCAGAUGAGGGAGCACCACCUGUAAUCAGCCCUGGAAUAAGAUGGAAACUGGAGGCAGGAGAAUCUGCCUGAAAACUAUGGGCCAGCCUCCUGCAGUAUUCUAUACAGCAGUGGAAACAGGAAGAGAGACUCAAAAGAGCAGGGAAGAUGGCAACCGGCUUCUGAAAGCUCUCUGACCUUCAUGUGCUUACACACAAGAUGACCCCAGGUUCCCAGCACUUGUAUGAGGCAGCUCACAACCACCUGUAACUCCAGCUCUCAGAGAUCUGAUCCCUCCUUCUGGAUGCUAAGAAUUGGACUGGUGUUCACAUAGCUGCAUACAAACACACACAUUACUUAUGAAAGGGUCUGUUUGGUUUACAGGUUGCAGCCCAUCAUCGAGGAAAGCCAAGGCAGAAAGUGAAGCAGAUGCCAUGAGGAAUGCUACCUGCUAGCUUGCUCAGCUACCUUUCUUCUACAACUUGGGCUCAUGUGGCUAGGAGAGGCAUUGCCCACAGUGGGCUGGUCCCUCCUGCAUCAGCUUUCAAUCAAGGAAAUUCCCUCACAGACACACCCACAGCCUGGACUGCCUAUCGAGGGAUGUUGCUGCUCAAGAGGGCUGGGCACUCUCAUCUUAACCGUCAAUCAAGACAUGGUCAUAGGCCGACCUGAGGGAGGUGAUUAUUCAGUUGAGGCUCCUCUAAGAGUGUCUCAGGCAGCAGAGAGACUGGGACCACAUCUUAACACAUCUGUUUCCCAGCCCCUGCCCAAGCUCAGUCAACAUCUGUAUUGCCUGUUCAUUGUAAUCAACCCAUUUGUUCAGUUAAAACAAACAAAUGUUUGCUCUUGAGGGAAGAAAUACCUGAAGUCUAAAUUUGUUAAUUAUGGUUCUUAUGAAUGUUAGCC
rnacentral:lncRNA from 1 species